ensembl:lncRNA
CACCCAAAUCGGACCUGAGGAAUUCCCGCCAGUCAAUUCCAGCUCCCCCGUCAUUCCACUCACCAGCCCUGGAUCUAGGGUGAGUCCCUCAGCCUCAGGCUCCUUCACUUGUGGGCAAGAAAUAUGCCGACUUCAUAGAUGGCUACGAGGAUGAAGAAUUCUACUUCUCAGAAUUUAACAAAAAGAACUAAGUGGCCUUCUGCUUCUGGCUUUGAUGGAGUAGCUUGGAGCAGCCUAAUGCUUCUGCUAAGACUUGGAAACGCUGAGCAAAAUACAAAAGAAAAGUUGUGUGUAUUCAUUCAAUGGAGUAAUAUGCAGUGAUGGAAAUAAGAACUCUCGCUACAAGCCAAAAUGUGGAUGAAUGUCACAAGCACGGUGUUAGGCCAAAGGAGCCAGUGCUCUAGGUCAGUGCUUCUCAAACGUGAGCGUGCUGCGCCUGCCUGUCACCUGGGGAGCUUGUUAAAAUGCGGGUUGUGAUUCGGUCUUCACAUUUCGCUGAACAUUUAGUGUAACGGUGAUGAAGUUGGAAGAAGGCGGCAUCUACGUAGGCAUCUGGACUAACCACGGCACUUUGGAGGCUGGUUCUUUAGAGAACACAUUCCAAGCUCCAUCUACAAAUAAAAAGUCUGUAUUACGUCUUGUUGGAAAGAAGAGCAGGAAGGCACUGAAGCUACCUCCGUGCACUAUUUGUUUCCUUAUUCAAAACUGCAGAAUUGAGCAGUGCUGGGGUGGAAAGAACACUGACAGGCCUCCAGUCCCACCUGCUCGUGUGAGGCGCUCUGUGGAGCUCCGGAGCUGCGGGGAGAGAGGACUCCCAAGUCCGAGGGGGCCAGGGCUUUUGUGACGUGUCCUGCAGUCUCCCGGAGAGAUGGCUGUGCUUAUCUGGCCUCCAAACAAACCCUUCCAGGGACCGGGGACAACUCCCAGGCAGUGCUUCGUGACUGGCUAUAAUCUGUGGCCACUCCAGCUUUCUCAUUCUCCUUCCAACACAUCAAGCUUUGUCACACCUCAGAGCCGGCGCACUUACUGCUUCAUCAGACUGGGAUGCUUUCUUCAAGAGCUGUCACCCCACGAGAAUGGGGCCAUCGUCUGCCGGGUGCUGCUGCCCCUCACAGAGGAGAUGCUCAGGAAAAGCUUAUUGAAUGGAUGAGUGGUUUUGUUUUUUGAUUGGUUUUUGCAGACAAGGGGCAUGGGAGACAGAAUUUGUUCCUUUAGGUUUGAAAUAUGUUUCAGCUUUGUCUUCUUCACUACAGGCUCGUCGGUUUGCACAGGAUUCUCAUAUUUAAGUGCAGAUCCCUGCAAGUGCACAAUGGGGGUAAUAAAGGCACCCAUCUCCUGGAGUUUUUAAGGGCACUAAAUGAGAAAUAUGCACAAGGUGCUUCUCACCGUGCCAGGCAGCUGUUUCCGGGAUGCUGUGCGAACUUGAUCUCAGAACCAGCAGCAGAAACACUGGUCUCGUCCGUCCCCUAAGAAAUGAGAAGACUUCCUUCAGGAGUUUGAACUGCUUCUAAGACAAUACGGGACAAUGACGUAGAAAUCUAGAAUUAAAAACUAUGUUGAGAGAUUUAUUCAUCCUUCAAGCAUGACCAGAUUGUUCUUCCUAAAUCAAACAUCAUUUUGGCCUUAAAGAAAUCUGAAAGCUCUCCAGUGAGUGUGGAAUAAAGUUGAAACUGUGUGGUUCACUGCUGAAGUCUCUGAUGAGGAGCAGAUGCUCAGAAUCAGGCUGCCUGGACUGAAAUCCAGGCUCCAUCACUAAUCGAUACUAGCAGAGAGACCUGGAACCAGUCACUUCUUAAUCCUUAGUUUAUUCAUCCAUGACACGAGAAUGACGGUGUCUCGUAGCACAGGGCCUGAUGCAUAGUGAACACACACAGAGUAAAUGCCGGUAUUAUGUGGACCUCUCCCUGCAUUUUUAGUCUUCUCUUCCGUGUACCCUUCUUCCAGAAUAGCCAUUCUCUGAAGACAUCUCAUCAUCUCCCACCUCUGUGUCUUUAAUCUGAUGUUUUUAAAGGAAAUCGAGGCUUGCUGAGGUCACAAAGAA